rnacentral:rRNA from 1 species
GGGUUCGAUUCCGGAGAGGGAGCCUGAGAAACGGCUACCACAUNCAAGGAAGGCAGCAGGCGCGCAAAUUACCCAAUCCCGACACGGGGAGGUAGUGACAAUAAAUAACANCACAGGGCUCUUUUGGGUCUUGUUAUUGGAAUGAGUACGAUUUAAAUCUCCUAACGAGGAACAAUUGGAGGGCAAGUCUGGUGCCAGCAGCCGCGGUAAUUCCAGCUCCAAUAGCGUAUAUUAAAGUUGUUGCAGUUAAAAAGCUCGUAGUUGAAUUUCAGGCCUGGCUGGACGGUCCGCCCUUCGGGUGAGUACUGUCUGUGGUCGGGUCCUACCUUCUGGCGAAGCGUCAUGGCCUUAACCGGCCGUGNCGGGGAACCAGGACUUUUACUGUGAAAAAAUUAGAGUGUUCAAAGCAGGC